GCGUUUUUAGUUUAAUUGGAUAAAACAUUCGUCUUCUAAGCGAUGAUUAUUGGUUCAAUUCCAAUAAAACGCA
rfam:Chrysochromulina sp. CCMP291 CAF.Contig9355, whole genome shotgun sequence.